rnacentral:rRNA from 1 species
UACGUAGGUGGCGAGCGUUGUCCGGAUUUACUGGGCGUAAAGGGAGCGUAGGCGGGCUUUUAAGUGAGAUGUGAAAUACUCGGGCUCAACUUGAGUGCUGCAUUUCAAACUGGAAGUCUAGAGUGCGGGAGAGGAGAAUGGAAUUCCUAGUGUAGCGGUGAAAUGCGUAGAGAUUAGGAAGAACACCAGUGGCGAAGGCGAUUCUCUGGACUGUAACUGACGCUGAGGCUCGAAAGCGUGGGGAGCAAACAGG